rnacentral:misc_RNA from 1 species
CCGCGCGCGGGCGAGCUUUCUCAUCACGGCGUCGCGGCGCACGCACCAGCGGCUGAUCCGCGCCGUCGAGGAGGCGACCAAGGGGCUGCCGCGCAUCCUAUGGGACGGCAAUGGCCCCAAUCCUUAUCCCUU